rnacentral:rRNA from 1 species
AAUAGAUACCCGGGUAGUCCACGCCGUAAACGAUGAGUGCUAAGUGUUAGAGGGUUUCCGCCCUUUAGUGCUGAAGUUAACGCAUUAAGCACUCCGCCUGGGGAGUACGGCCGCAAGGCUGAAACUCAAAGGAAUUGACGGGGGCCCGCACAAGCGGUGGAGCAUGUGGUUUAAUUCGAAGCAACGCGAAGAACCUUACCAGGUCUUGACAUCCUCUGACAACCCUAGAGAUAGGGCUUCUCCUUCGGGGGCAGAGUGACAGGUGGUGCAUGGUUGUCGUCAGCUCGUGUCGUGAGAUGUUGGGUUAAGUCCCGCAACGAGCGCAACCCUUGAUCUUAGUUGCCAUCAUUCAGUUGGGCACUCUAAGGUGACUGCCGGUGACAAACCGGAGGAAGGUGGGGAUGACGUCAAAUCAUCAUGCCCCUUAUGACCUGGGCUACACACGUGCUACAAUGGACGGUACAAAGAGCUGCAAGACCGCGAGGUGGAGCUAAUCUCAUAAAACCGUUCUCAGUUCGGAUUGUAGGCUGCAACC